ACGCUUGAAGUCAGUCGCGUUGGCCAGGAAUCAACCUUGCUUUUGCUUGGCGUAUUUUCUGGUUAAUGGGUCAGCAUCAAUUUUGACCGGUGGAUAAAGGUCAGGGGAAUGUGGCAUCUUCGGAUGUGUUAUAGCCUCUGGUCGCAUACAUCGGUUGGGAUUGAGGAACUCAGCACGCCGCAAGGCCGGGUUUUUAACCACGUACGUGCUUAGGAUGCUGGCAUAAUGGCUUUAAUCGACCCGUCUUGAAACACGGACCAAGGAGUC
rnacentral:rRNA from 1 species